rnacentral:rRNA from 1 species
GACGAACCGUACGAACGUUAUUCGGAAUCACUGGGCUUAAAGGGUGCGUAGGCUGCGCAGCAAGUUGGGUGUGAAAUCCCUCGGCUUAACCGAGGAACUGCGCCCAAAACUGCUGUGCUCGAGGGAGAUAGAGGUGAGCGGAGCUUAGGGUGGAGCGGUGAAAUGCGUUGAUAUCCUAAGGAACACCGGUGGCGAAAGCGGCUCACUGGAUCUCUUCUGACGCUGAGGCACGAAAGCUAGGGUAGCGAACGGG